CCGCGUGGGUGAAGAAGGCCUUCGGGUUGUAAAGCACUUUUGUCCGGAAAGAAAUGGCUCUGGUUAAUACCUGGGGUCGAUGACGGUACCGGAAGAAUAAGGACCGGCUAACUACGUGCCAGCAGCCGCGGUAAUACGUAGGGUCCAAGCGUUAAUCGGAAUUACUGGGCGUAAAGCGUGCGCAGGCGGUUGUGCAAGACCGAUGUGAAAUCCCCGAGCUUAACUUGGGAAUUGCAUUGGUGACUGCACGGCUAGAGUGUGUCAGAGGGGGGUAGAAUUCCACGUGUAGCAGUGAAAUGCGUAGAGAUGUGGAGGAAUACCGAUGGCGAAGGCAGCCCCCUGGGAUAACACUGACGCUCAUGCACGAAAGCGUGGGGAGCAAACAGGAUUAGAUACCCUGGUAGUCCACGCCCUAAACGAUGUCAACUAGUUGUUGGGGAUUCAUUUCCUUAGUAACGUAGCUAACGCGUGAAGUUGACCGCCUGGGGAGUACGGUCGCAAGAUUAAAACUCAAAG
rnacentral:rRNA from 1 species